UUCAAGUAUUGACAGGCAAAAAGUCAAUAGUAUCUUAGGUUAUAGUAUAUGACAAAAUAUAGCCAGAUGGGAGAAGAUAAGCCAGAGAAGCGGCAGAGUGGAGAGUGGGUAGAACAGGAUGUUUUCUAGCUGCAGUUGUCAAGAAGGGCUCUGGGCUGAAACUUGAAUGAAUUGAGGGAGAGAACCAUGUAAUCCCUUAUGCGUGAGUGUGUGUGUGUGUGUGUGUCUGUCUGUGUGUGCAUGCAUGUAUUCGUAGGGGGAUAAUGUGGCUAAAUUAGAGCAAGAGGAGUGUGGAUAAAGAGAAGUAGCCAAGGUCCAGGUUCUGCAGUGAUAAGAGCAGACAUUUUUAGGUUUGGAGAGGUAAGUGAAAAGAAUGCUUAAUGGAAAAUAGCCUGUCUUUUGUGCAAAAGUAGAUUCAGAUAACAAUGUUAGGAGCCUAUGGCAAUAGCGAGAGAUGUUUGUAGCUUAUACAGGCGGCAGCAGUGGUGGAAAUGGUCAGAAGUGGUGAGAUUUUGGGUGUAUGAUUUUAUGAGAGAAUAUUCCUGAUUUGAGGAUUCAUGAGUAUCUCCUAAGUUUAAAACAAUUAAAGUUUUAGAUUGCUAUUCUGAUUUUCCACAGCAUAUUAGUCUCUCUUGGAUGUCUUAAAAGCACAAAGUGUCUGACGAGUCAAAUGGAAGAAUUUAAUCUAGUUGAUGUCAUAUGUAAAUACGAUUGGAACCACUGUUAUUUGGAGUUAUGUCUUGAAGAUAUAUGUACACAUUAUUCUUUUUGAAAAUGCUUUUUUUCCAUUUGAUGACACAUGACAGAGGUUAGCCUGAGAUGAAUGCCA
rnacentral:lncRNA from 10 species